GACGUAGGGGGCCAGCGUUGUUCGGAAUUACUGGGUGUAAAGGGUUCGUAGGCGGUGCGGCAAGUUGGGAGUGAAAUCUCUGGGCUUAACCCAGAGGCUGCUUCCAAAACUGCUGUGCUUGAGUGUGGGAGAGGCGCGUGGAAUUGCAGGUGUAGCGGUGAAAUGCGUAGAUAUCUGGAGGAACAUCGGUGGCGAAGGCGGCAUCCUGGACCAACACUGACGCUGAGGAGCGAAAGCCAGGGGAGCAAAGCGGG
rnacentral:rRNA from 1 species